rnacentral:rRNA from 1 species
GACGAACGCUGGCGGCGUGCUUAACACAUGCAAGUCGAACGGUGAAGCUCCAGCUUGCUGGUGUGGAUCAGUGGCGAACGGGUGAGUAACACGUGAGCAACCUGCCCCUGACUCUGGAAUAAGCGCUGGAAACGGCGUCUAAUACUGGAUACGAGAAGGGUCCGCAUGGGCACUUUCUGGAAAGUUGUUCGGUUGGGGAUGGGCUCGCGGCCUAUCAGCUUGUUGGUGAGGUAAUGGCUCACCAAGGCGACGACGGGUAGCCGGCACGGGAGGGCGACCGGCCACCCUGCUACUGCGACACGGACCAGACUCCUACGGUGGGCAGCAGUGGGGAAUAUUGCCCAAUGGGAGCACGCCUGAUGCAGCGACGCCGCGUGUGGGAUGACGGCCUUCGGGUUGUAAACCUCUUUCAGCAGGGAAGAAGCGAAAGUGACGGUACCUGCAGAAGAAGCACCGGCUAACUACGUG